CGAGAAGAUAGGCCCAGAGCUGCGCACAGCCUCAGAACCAGAUGGUCUGUUAGCCCCGAUCUGAGCCAGGACCCCCAGACCCCACCCAUCCGGCCUCCCCGCCUCUACUCUUCCUCGCCGCAGUCGAGGGGCCAGGAAGAUGGACGAGAGGAAGAGGGCGCCCGGGACCUCAGCUAAGGUUUAGGACGAGGAAGCCUGUGUGCAGGAUGAAGACGGGGGCCUGGAUUCAAUCCCUGGUCAGGAAACUAGAUCCUUCAUGACACAACUGAAGAUCCCACAUGCAGAAAUGAAGAUGCCACCUGACGCAACCAAGACCCAGCACAGCCAAAUAAAAAAAUUAAAAAAAAAAAGAAAUGGCAGUGUUAUCAUUUCCAACCUUGAUCAGGUCAGCUUCCCUCGGCCUAACCCCUCCAGUGGUGUCCACUGUGGUUUUCAUUUAAACCCAGAUCUUCAGCCCCUUGGAACUCAGCCCCCAUCAGUUUCCCUGAGCGCCUACCCUUGCUCACUCUGCACCCAGCACCCUGGCCUCCUUGCUGUUCCUCUUAUCCACCCACCCCUUUCUCCUCUGGGCCUUUGCACUUUCUUUUCCUUCCACCUGGAACAUGCUACCAGACUGUUUGCCUCUCUGGCUUACAGCUUACAGUCUGAAAGGCUCCUCAUUUCAGAUCACAGUUCUUUUAGCUCAAACCAGUCCAUCCUAAAGGAAAUCCACCCUGAAUAUUCAUUGGAAGGACUAAUGCUGAAG
ensembl:lncRNA